UCUGGUUGAUCCUGCCAGUAGUUAUAUGCUUGUCUCAAAGAUUAAGCCAUGCAUGUCUAAGUACACACGAAUUAAAAGUGAAACCGCAAAAGGCUCAUUAUAUCAGUUAUGGUUCCUUAGAUCGUUAACAGUUACUUGGAUAACUGUGGUAAUUCUAGAGCUAAUACAUGCAAUUAAAACAUGAACCUUAUGGGACAUGUGCUUUUUAUUAGGCUAAAACCAAGCGAUCGCAAGAUCGUUAUAUUGGUUGAACUCUAGAUAACAUGCAGAUCGUAUGGUCUUGUACCGACGACAGAUCUUUCAAAUGUCUGCCCUAUCAACUUUUGAUGGUAGUAUCUAGGACUACCAUGGUUGCAACGGGUAACCGGGGAAUCAGGGUUCGAUUCCGGAGAGGGAGCUUGAGAAACGGCUCCCACAUCUAAGGAAGGCAGCAGGCGCGUAAAUUACCCACUCCCAGCUCGGGGAGGUAGUGACGAAAAAUAACAAUACAGGACUCAUAUCCGAGGCCCUGUAAUUGGAAUGAGUACACUUUAAAUCCCUUUAACAAGGACCAAUUGGAGGGCAAGUCUGGUGCCAGCAGCCGCGGUAAUUCCAGCUCCAAUAGCGUAUAUUAAAGUUGUUGCGGUUAAAACGUUCGUAGUUGAACUUGUGCUUCAUACGGGUAGUACAACUUACAAUUGUGGUUAGUACUAUACCUUUAUGUAUGUAAGCGUAUUACCGGUGGAGUUCUUAUAUGUGAUUAAAUACUUGUAUUUUUUCAUAUGUUCCUCCUAUUUAAAAACCUGCACUAGUGCUCUUAAACGAGUGUUAUUGUGGGCCGGUACUAUUACUUUGAACAAAUUAGAGUGCUUAAAGCAGGCUUCAAAUGCCUGAAUAUUCUGUGCAUGGGAUAAUGAAAUAAGACCUCUGUUCUGCUUUCAUUGGUUUUCAGAUCAAGAGGUAAUGAUUAAUAGAAGCAGUUUGGGGGCAUUAGUAUUACGACGCGAGAGGUGAAAUUCUUGGACCGUCGUAAGACUAACUUAAGCGAAAGCAUUUGCCAAAGAUGUUUUCAUUAAUCAAGAACGAAAGUUAGAGGUUCGAAGGCGAUCAGAUACCGCCCUAGUUCUAACCAUAAACGAUGCCAGCUAGCAAUUGGGUGUAGC
rnacentral:rRNA from 1 species